rnacentral:lncRNA from 1 species
UGGGGGCAGCAUGCCAAUGCUGGGGGUGGAAUCGAUAGCCCAGCUCAAGUGCAUCUAUGCCGAUGCACACAGCAUGGGCAAUAAACAGGAGGAGCUGGAAGCCAUUGUGCAGCAGGAUAGCUAUGACUUAGUUGCCACCACAGAAACAUGGUGGGACGACUCCCAUGACUGGAGUGCUGCAAUGGAUGGCUAUAAGCUCUUCAGAAGGGAUAGGCAAGGAAGGAGAGGCGAAGGGGUGGCUCUCUAUGUUAGGGAGUGUUUCGAUUGUACAGAGCUACACGAUUGUGAUGACAAGGUUGAGUGCUUGUGGGUAAGGAUGAGAGGGAAGGCCAACAAGGCAGAUAUUGUGCUGGGAGUCUGUUAUAGACCACCCAAUCAGGUUGAGGAGACAGAUGAAUCAUUCUACAAGCGGCUGGCAGUAGUCUCAGAAUUGUGUGCCCUUGUUCUCGUGGGGGACUUCAACUUUCUGGACGUCUGCUGGAAAUACAACACAGCAGAGAGUAAGCAGUCUAGGAGGUUCCUGGGGUGUGUGGAAGAUAACUUCCUGACACAGCUGGUAGGUGAGCCUACCAGGGGAGGAGCCUUGCUAGAUCUGCUGUUUACAAACAGGGAAGGACUGGUGGGACGUGUGAUGGUCAGAGGCCGUCUCGGGCUUAGCGACCAUGAAAUGAUAGAAUUCUCAAUUCUUGGUGAGGCAAGGAAGGUGGUCAGUAAAACCACCACUAUGGACUUCCGGAGGGCAAACUUUGGCCUUUUCCGGACAUUGGUUGAGAGAGUCCCUUGGGAGACAGUCCUGAAGGGCAAAGGGGACCAGGAAGGCUGGACAUUCUUCAAGGAGGAAAUCUUAAUGGCUCAGGACCAGGCUAUUCCCAUGCACCGCAAGACGAACCGCCGAGGAAGAUGACCGGCCUGGCUGAACAGGGAGCUUUUUCUAGGACUCAAGAAAAAAAGGAGAGUUUAUCAUCUCUGGAAGAAAGGGCAGGCAACCCAGGAGGAGUACAGGGAUCUUGUUAGGUCAUACAGAGAGGAAAUUAGAAAGGCAAAAGCUCAACUAGAACUCAAUCUGGCCACUGUCGUAAGAGACAACAAAAAAUAUUUUUACAAAUAUGUUAACAAUAAAAAGAGAGCCAAGGAGAGAAUAUCCAUCCUUUAUUGGAUACAGAGGGGAACAUU